rnacentral:lncRNA from 1 species
UUCAAAUUUCCCACUUCAUUAAUAUGAAAGAUUAGGUUAAGACAAUUGCAACGCCACCUGUGUUUAUUUAUAGGAAUAAAGAAAAUUGCGACUAGCAGUGCAUCUUUUAUGGAGAAUAUACGACAAAAAAAGAUCUUAAUAAUUCUUUUAAUAAAAACAAUCUAAACGAAAAAGGAUCUAAAUAUGCCGAUUACACGAAUGUUCGAGCGAAGGAGCUUGGCAACCAAAGGACGAACGAGGAAGCGGGUAGAAGGAACGACGACUAGAAGGCCAGCAAAGGGUGAGGGAAGUCGGCCAUAUUGAAGAAGGGUGGACAUACAUAGUGAAAGAAAGAGGAGAGGAGGAGAGAGAAAGAGAGAGGCCACGAAAGGAGAGACCUUGCUCUUCGAGCAAGUUGCCACAGUGUCGAGAGUGAGCAGCACCAUCUUGUUAACAGUCGAGUUCUUUUUCCAUCGGCGUCGACUCCGAUAGGCCUACGGUGCCAUGGUGGGCGUUCUUCCUCGUCUUCCUAUUUUGUCCACUCGUCCAUGCUCCGCCUCGUGUGGUAACCUCGACUCUCCUGCACGUGAUCGGUACGCUACGCCGAGAGAUCUGAAAGGGUACCAACGAGUUGCCGACCAGUUGCCUACGUAACGACUUUGGCCACGUCCUUGCGCGCGAAGAGAUCACGAGUCCUCGAUGGAUUAUCAUCUGUCCGGCCAGUAACAUUGUUCACUCCUCCGAUAUUCCUGGAGAGGAAGAAUAGGUACUGAUAAAGUUAUGUCAAGGUUAUGUUCCGAGAAUCAGGCAGCCAAACCUAUUCCACGUCGGCUUACCUCGAUUUCCAUAAUUUCGUUACGCCUCGACUCACCUUAAUCGCCGCGAUACAUUAAAGUAUCAUAUAUCAAAAAUUCGUCAUCCCUGGCGCCACGUUACCAUCACCGAUAUCCCAAUUAUGGCGAUGAAGAGUAACGUUCGAACGUUCUCUAACCAGUCACGCGAUCGUCCAACGUCGAUCCAAUAUCCACACGGAUCCUCUUUCACGCUUUUAUCUCGAAAACGAUGGUUUCGAGGGACAGGUGCGACUAACCUUGAGAUAAGGUGUCCGACCAGCUGCAUUCGCCGCGAAUGUGGUCGUUAGAGGGAUCAGGCGACGAAACCGGAGGAAUAAGGGAAGAUACACAUCCAUUACCAUCAGCAUGCAAAUUAGAUCGAGGAUUACCGCAAAUCCUUUCGUAACAAUCCACCCGCUGCCGAAGAGAAAAAGGGAGGAGGAGAAAGGAAAAAGGAUGCUGUCGAGAGAUAAAGAUUCAAAGGAGAGAAAGGAACUCGACCGCAAACUCCUCGCCGGAACUUAAUUAUCGUCUGGCAUCGGUGUCGAGGGAUGCUUUACGAAUGGUACUAGAGACUGGUCUUUUUUUAAAAUGGAAUAAAUAUUCGGCCCAAUGUAAUUGGCAUGAAGGAGGAUCCAUAGAAGUUUCCAUCGAGUUUGACAUAAAUGAUAUUCCAUGA